GCUUCCUCAGCUGUGCUGAGCUGUCCCCUCUCUGUGGUUGAGCCUGUGGCCUGCUCUGGCUACUUCCCCCUCCAGCUCAGGUCCAGCCCUGCUCUUGACCCCACAGGUUCCCACGCACAGCUGUCAAGGCACCUCACAACCUGAUACCACCAGGGUCCCCUCCCCUCACCUGAUGUCCAGCCUCUCUGGGCCCACGCACUAUCUCCCCUGCUCCUGGAAGGCCUUGGAGACCAAGGUCCCUGCACAGCAGGGCUUGGUCUUUCCCAACAUGUUUUGUGGAAUGACCCAGCCACCACCACCACCAUCAAUGCCCAACUUCAAGUGGGAGGGGACCUUCGUGUACACCCGGUGCCUACGAGAAGAGGUCCAGCUUGCUUAUGCCCUUUUGGAUAAGAGGGCCCUGGCCAUCCUGGACAGAGGCCUCAGCACCUGCAGGUGAAAUGGUAAAUCGUAUUCCUGUUACUUCACACUGACUGGAACUGGAGGCUGAGGCUGCUGUUCCACAUUUCCUGGUGCCCUGGCCUUGUGGAAAGAAUUUGAUUCAGUCUACGUUUGGCAAAAGAAGAAAUAUGAUGGUGAUUGACCACAUCCUUGCUCUUCAGGAUGUUCCCCAGAUACCAGCUGUGACAUCCCCAAGGAGCUCGCCAAAACACAGACUCUCAGGCUUCACCCCAGACCUGCUAUGACAGGUGGCUUAGGUGAUCUAGAGAAGAGUGAAGUUCAGGCUGAAGAGGGCAGAAAACCUAGUCUUCGUGGUAUAAAGAGGAGAAAGCUACUCAAAGCUCUAAAAUCCGGGCUGCAUAUCCUGUUUGAGACUCUCCCUUUGCAUUUUCCCUAAGAAUAAAAAGUCUUCAUCUGAAGAUUCAUCAUAUGGUAAGUAAAAUUAUUCCAUUUGGGACAAGAAGAUUAGUCCAAAAAUCUAGUUUGUUUUUCUUCUGAGUCCAAUCAAAACUUCUCAUAAACUCUAUUGGUCUGGGUCUUAGUGUUAUUUAGAGGAAAUUAAUUUUAUUCUUGUACACAAGCGCCUUACAUAUUCAAAGGUUGCUGCAGAGUAGAUUUGUCACACACACACAUUCCACAUUCUAACUUUUCCCCAACAGUGUGAUAGGGAAUAGAAGCCAGUGCUCUUUCCCUGGAAGAAAGUGUGUCAGAGGGAACACCUUCAGUUUCCCUCUAGUGCACCUCUAAACCCAUCUAUCUUGUGCCGUUUUCAAGUGUCCUCUUCUAAGUGUGCUUCCUCCACCCGUGCAGUAGUCCUACCAUUGUUCCGUAUUUUUAGUUUCCUUCUCCUAUUGGAAUAUUUGCAUUUUUAUUAUACCAUUGUCACAUCACUCUUAAGUUCCGCUUACCUGUCACCCUCCCUGAGAUAUCCUGGUGUCUCUCUCUUCCUCUUCAAAGCUGAUCCCACCUACUUUGCCAGAGCCUAUUUGCACCUUAAAAGACUUGCAUCUGGUGACUCAACUUUGAGGGAUCCCUGGGGGCUAAUAUCAAAGCUAGCCCAAACUGUGAGCCUCAGAUGCCCUCAGUGCCAUUUGGUAAACCCAAAACAACUGCAACAAAUAGAAACCACUCAUUACGUGGGACUAUACCUAAAAAAACAUUGAGAAAUAGACUUUACAAAAAUGGGAAAGCCUGGACUUCAAAAAAAAAAAAACAAAAAAAAAAAACAGGUACUUAUUAGUAAUGAUAGAUAUUUUUUACUAGAUGGGUUAAAGCAUUGCCUACUAAGUCUGAGUCAGCCCUGAUAGUUCCCUGAUUUGGCCUCCCUUUAUCCGUGGGGUCCGACAAUGGCCCGGCUUUUAUAGCCCAGAUAACUCAAAAACUAACCUUAGCUUUGCAGAUCAAUUGGAAACUCCAUUGUGCUUAUCGGCCUCAAAGUUCAGGACAAGAAAAAAAGAUAAGUCAGAUUUUAAAGACAAUAAUUACUAAUGGCCUUAAACACUAGCAAGAACUGGGUGCAUCUCCUUCCUUUUGCUCUUUUGUAUGUGUGAUAUACCCUCUAUGUUCCAGGUAUUUUCCCUUUCAAGGCUUUGUAUGGGAGACCACUUCCUCUUAUCCUUAAGGUUUCUAAAAAAAAAGAAUUAGCUGAUUUAGCUAAUCAAGAUCUUAUUAAGUACCCCCCAGACUUUUCAGCCAGUUCUGACCUCCAUCCACUGGUUAUUUCAAUGAGGACAAACGCCCUGCUGUAGAGCCUGAGACACCACCGGUCCUUAUCAAGCAACAUCACUGUGAAUCUCUUGAGCUGUGAUGGUAGCCAAAAAGCCUGCCUGGAUUCAUCAUUCCCACUUCAAAAAAGUCCCAGUUUCCAAAGGCAAUCAACCUAUGGAUAAGUGGACUGUCGUUCCCUCCAAGGAGUCUUUCAAGCUUAAGAUGGCCAAAUGUAACUGAUAAUCUUGUGUUCUCCCUUAUAGAGACCCCAAAGAGGCCUCUGUCUGAGUUAAAAAAAAAAAAAAUUGUUACUUGUAUGACUGAACAGAGUAAAUUUAAAUGUUGGUUUUCUUUCUCCUUUUGGUUAACAGCUUUAAUAAUGACAGCUGCAAGACCUUUGUUGAUUCUCCUAUUGGGCUUUGUAUUGUAAACAAGCUGAUAAACUGUCAAAGAUCUUAAAAGCUUAUGAUUUUAAAGGCACACGCAAGGUUAUAAACAGAUACCAAUGAGUCAAUAAUUUGACUCACUGACAAAAUCAGUGGGGAACGUUGUACACUAGCAAAAAGAGCUUCGUUAUAUUUGUAUUAUAUCAAAAUACCUGUAAUGUUACCCUAACUGUUCUGUUAAUGUUUUUCUUCUCCUUUCUCCCUCUGGGUGACCUAAUAUGUUAACCAUUGCUGCCCUCUCUAAAUAACAGAUGUGGUGCUAAAAUAAGAUAACAAAAGGUUGUUAAUUGCUGCUAGACUCCUCUGUUCUCUGCUGAGGAAAACAAAGAUCUUCAUUAGCCGAUUUCCAGAUCCACACCCAUACCCCUUACUUUGUAAACAGUGAUACAUAUAUAAAGGCUGCAAGUAUGGGGGAGCCACACACCCAGCUUUUGCAAUCUCCAACUGUACUGGGCCCAGGAUAAAAUAAAUCAGCACUGUUUUUUAAAAUA